rnacentral:rRNA from 1 species
GACAGAGGAUGCAAGCGUUAUCCGGAAUGAUUGGGCGUAAAGCGUCUGUAGGUGGCUUUUUAAGUCCGCCGUCAAAUCCCAGGGCUCAACCCUGGACAGGCGGUGGAAACUACCAAGCUGGAGUACGGUAGGGGCAGAGGGAAUUUCCGGUGGAGCGGUGAAAUGCGUAGAUUUCGAGAAAGAACGCUCGCAGCGAAAGCGAAAGCUCUGUCAGAUUCUGACG